rnacentral:sRNA from 1 species
UCAUUAGGUAUACUGCAGUAUUCACUGCU